GUGGUUGUAGCUUAGUGGUCAGAGCAUCGGACUCGUGACUUGAAAGUCGAGGGUUCGAAUCCCGAACCCACU
rnacentral:tRNA from 1 species